rnacentral:lncRNA from 1 species
UUUUAAUAUGUUAUAGAUAUAUAUACUUAAAUUGUAAAAUUAAUUAAAACAUAUGUUAAAUAUUUUGCUUUUGACAAAGAGUCAUUCUCAAAAAUACUAUUAUAAGAUGAGCUUUUGUUCCAAAUAAAAAAAUAAAAAAAAAAUACAACUACAAAUGUUUUGUUUUAAAAAAAUAAUACUAAAUAAUAAGUUUUCGGAAAAUUUCAGAAAGGUAAAUCUAAAGUUUAAACCUUGAAAACUAAAACCUAAACCCAGUCCUAAAAUUUUAAAUUAUAAAACCAUAAAAAAUCGUUUUAGUGUUGGUGGAACUUUUGGACCUAAAAGAUUUGUAAUCAUAUUUUUGAGAGAAACAAAACCUAGUAAUUAAUAUGAUGUUUUUGUAACAAAAAUUUGUUUUAAGUGUAAGAUGUUAAACUUAUGCAUCGUUCAUUUAGUAUCUUCAUCUCUGCUUGAACAUGUAAUUUCGUACGUUUUUUUUUUUUUUUUUAAUUUCAUAAGGUUGAAUACUUAUAUAUGAACAAGUCCAAAUUCCCGAAAAACAUCUACAUGGCUAACAUGUGAUUUAUAAAGAGAUGUUGUGCAAUU